AUUGAACGCUGGCGGCAUGCCUUACACAUGCAAGUCGAACGGCAGCACGGGUGCUUGCACCUGGUGGCGAGUGGCGAACGGGUGAGUAAUACAUCGGCACAUGUCCUGUAGUGGGGGAUAGCCCGGCGAAAGCCGGAUUAAUACCGCAUACGAUCUACGGAUGAAAGCGGGGGACCUUCGGGCCUCGCUCUAUAGGGUUGGCCGAUGGCUGAUUAGCUAGUUGGUGGGGUAAAGGCCUACCAAGGCGACGAUCAGUAGCUGGUCUGAGAGGACGACCAGCCACACUGGGACUGAGACACGGCCCAGACUCCUACGGGAGGCAGCAGUGGGGAAUUUUGGACAAUGGGCGAAAGCCUGAUCCAGCAAUGCCGCGUGUGUGAAGAAGGCCUUCGGGUUGUAAAGCACUUUUGUCCGGAAAGAAAUCCUUGGCCCUAAUACGGUCGGGGGAUGACGGUACCGGAAGAAUAAGCACCGGCUAACUACGUG
rnacentral:rRNA from 1 species